rnacentral:rRNA from 1 species
GACGAACGCUGGCGGCGUGCUUAACACAUGCAAGUCGAACGGUGAAGCGCCUUCCUUUUUGGUGGGUGUGGAUGAGUGGCGAACGGGUGAGUAACACGUGAGUAACCUGCCCCCUUCUUCUGGAUAACCGCAUGAAAGUGUGGCUAAUACGGGAUAUUCUGGGUCUGUCGCAUGAUGGGUCUGGGAAAGAUAUUGUUUCGGUGGGGGAUGGGCUCGCGGCCUAUCAGCUUGUUGGUGGGGUGAUGGCCUACCAAGGCGGUGACGGGUAGCCGGCCUGAGAGGGUGGACGGUCACACUGGGAAUGAGGCACGGCCCAGACUACUACGGGAGGCAGCAGUGGGGAAUAUUGCGCAAUGGGCGCAAGCCUGAUGCAGCGACGCCGCGUGAGGGAUGGAGGCCUUCGGGUUGUGAACCUCUUUCGCCAGUGAAGCAGGCCUGCCUCGUUUGUGGGUGGGUUGACGGUAGCUGGAUAAGAAGCGCCGGCUAACUACGU